rnacentral:rRNA from 1 species
AUUGAACGCUGGCGGCAUGCUUUACACAUGCAGGUCGAACGGCAGCGCGGGCUUCGGCCUGGCGGCGAGUGGCGAACGGGUGAGUAAUACAUCGGAACGUGCCCAGUAGUGGGGGAUAGCUCGGCGAAAGCCGGAUUAAUACCGCAUACGACCUGAGGGUGAAAGCGGGGGAUCUUCGGACCUCGCGCUAUUGGAGCGGCCAAUGGCAGAUUAGCUAGUUGGUGGGGUAAAGGCCUACCAAGGCGACGAUCUGUAGCUGGUCUGAGAGGACGACCAGCCACACUGGGACUGAGACACGGCCCAGACUCCUACGGGAGGCAGCAGUGGGGAAUUUUGGACAAUGGGCGAAAGCCUGAUCCAGCAAUGCCGCGUGUGUGAUGAAGGCCUUCGGGUUGUAAAGCACUUUUGGCGGGAACGAAAAGGACUGUGCCAAUACCACGGUUCGAUGACGGUACCCGCAGAAUAAGCACCGGCUAACUACGUG